UAUAUAUAUAUAUAUACACGACAGGCUUCAUUCAGUUUCCGUCUACCCUCUCGGCUAUAAUUGAAGACACUUGCCCAAGAUACUCGCAGUGCACUGAACCUAGAACCAUGUGAUUGUGAGGCAAACCUCGUACCACACGGCCACGCAUAUUUUUUAAAAAUUUGUAUAUAUUACAUGAUGGCUGCUCACUGGCUUUCACAGAAGACUGACACCUUAUAUAAGCCACCAGUAUUAUUCAAAUUAGUUGCUAUGUGCUUUCAAAUCGUCAGUUCUAUACGUGUUGCUAAUUUUCCUAUAAACGUAGGACAUAACAUAUAUAUAUUUAUAUUAAAAAAAAUAGGGAACAAAGUCAAUAAUACCCAAGAAGAAUUUUGGAUCCAAUAAGGCUUGUUCAACACCCCAUAGAUACUCUACCCUACUAGCAUAACCCACAGGCAAGCAUGAACAAGUUAUCUGGUGUUAAUAAGUGUUGCAAUCUCUUGGUACUUAACCCUUCUACUAUUCAGAUUACUCUGUCAAAUGAAUGCUUAUUUAUUCACAGUUUUGAAAUUGGAUCAUGCAAUAUCUCAUAGCUUCAAGGUUUCGAUGAUGUGGUGGUUUAUUUAUAGAAUGGCAUUGUAGGGCGUGUAUGAGAGGCCAAAUCUGGCUGGUUCGAACGUAAAACGCUUUAAAAUAUUUGGGUCAGUUACGGCUGGUUUAAAUGCUAAGGAGUUUCAAAGGAGCAGAAACUUUUCCCCCAGAAGAGUUGAUGUUAUAUGAGAGUAACAUCCCAAGACAUCAUUCCAAGACACGGCUAACUUACACAAACGGACUAGCAGUAUGGUUAGGAGACUGGAACCCAUAUAUUAGACCAGUCUGCUGUGGAGUAUGCAACUCUGAAAUAUAUUCUGUGAGAGCCACUGUCCUGAAUUGUGGGACCACCGUUUUACUUAACGAAGAAUAAGAUUAAUACCUGCAAUACAUUCUACAAACUUAAUCCCUUGUGCCAAUAUGAGAGGUGAAAAAAAAUCACCAUUUUACACUGUUAAACUGCUGAAGACUACGUAUUUGGAUAUCAUCAUACCAUAUUCUUGACAAUAAUUUCUGCUAAAUUGUUAAGUUUAAAGUAAAUAAAAAUAAUAAAAAAGAGAUUUUAAAAAAUUUUUGGUGGAAUAUGAGGACAUUGCAAGUGAAAGGCAUCCAUUGUCACAACCAAUCAGCUUGACUCAAGUAAAAAUGGGGAAAUUUAUUGAUGUGCUAAACGAAAGAGGAGUAAAUGAUGUAUAUUUUAGACUCUUCCGGAAUACAUGAAGAAAAAAGGUCACAGAUAAAUCAAUAAAGAACUAAUAUUGAAAAUAUAU